UUGAUGUGUUGUAGUUGGGGUUUAAGGUAGUUUGAGACCCCUAGGAGCUUGUAUGCAUGUUUUGGUUGAGCUAAAUGCAUGAUGGUUUGAGUUUGAGGAAAAUGUGCAUAGAGGAGCCAAGUUUCUGCCCUUUGGCAGAAACCAGGUUCGGCAGCCGAAGGACUUUCGGCCGCCGAACAUGGCUGGGGAGGCAAGCCUUUCGGCUGCCGAAGCCUGCCCCCGAAAGGAGACUUUCGUCUCUGUCUGGGACUUUCGGCCACCGAAAGUGCCGCCGAACAUGCAUGAGUUUCGUCUCUGUCUGGG
rnacentral:lncRNA from 1 species